rnacentral:rRNA from 1 species
AACGAACGCUGGCGGCAUGCCUAACACAUGCAAGUCGAACGAGACCUUCGGGUCUAGUGGCGCACGGGUGCUUAACGCGUGGGAACCUGCCCUUAGGUUCGGAAUAACUCCCCGAAAGGGGUGCUAAUACCGGUUAAUGUCUUCGGCCCAAAGAUUUAUCGCCUUUGGAUGGGCCCGCGUUGGAUUAGCUAGUUGGUAGGGUAAAAGCCUACCAAGGCGACGAUCCAUAGCUGGUCUGAGAGGAUGAUCAGCCACACUGGGAAUGAGACACGGCCCAGACUACUACGGGAGGGAGCAGUGGGGAAUAUUGGAAAAUGGGCGAAAGCCUGAUCCAGCAAUGCCGGGUGAGUGAUGAAGGCCUUAGGGUAGUAAAGCUGUUUUACACGGGAUGAUAAUGACAGUAACGGGAGAAUAAGCACCGGCUAACUCCGUG